rnacentral:tRNA from 1 species
GCCCAAGUGGCGGAACUGGCAGACGCGCCGCACUCAAAAUGCGGUUCUCCGGAGUGUGGGUUCGAGUCCCACCUUGGGCA